rnacentral:rRNA from 1 species
UACGAAGGGUGCAAGCGUUACUCGGAAUUACUGGGCGUAAAGAGCGUGUAGGCGGCUAGUUAAGUCGGGUGUGAAAUCCCUCGGCUCAACCGAGGAAGUGCAUUCGAAACUAUCUAGCUCGAGGAUGGCAGAGGAAGGUGGAAUUCCUAGUGUAGAGGUGAAAUUCGUAGAUAUUAGGAGGAAUACCGGUGGCGAAGGCGGCCUUCUGGACCAGUCCUGACACUGAGACGCGAAAGCGUGGGUAGCAAACAGG